AUUGAACGCUGGCGGCGUGCUUAACACAUGCAAGUCGAGCGGUAAGGCCCUUUCGGGGGUACACGAGCGGCGAACGGGUGAGUAACACGUGGGUGACCUGCCCUCAGCUCUGGGAUAAGCCUGGGAAACCGGGUCUAAUACCGGAUAUGACUCCAUGACGCAUGUUGUGGGGUGGAAAGCCUUGUGCGGCUGAGGAUGGGCCCGCGGCCUAUCAGCUUGUUGGUGGGGUGAGGCCUACCAAGGCGACGACGGGUAGCCGGCCUGAGAGGGCGACCGGCCACACUGGGACUGAGACACGGCCCAGACUCCUACGGGAGGCAGCAGUGGGGAAUCUUGCGCAAUGGGCGAAAGCCUGACGCAGCGACGCCGCGUGAGGGAUGACGGCCUGUGUAACUCUU
rnacentral:rRNA from 1 species